rnacentral:lncRNA from 1 species
UUGAAUAAAGAAGAAUAAUGCUACUUGGACAGGGCAGAAAACAGGGUUAAAAACAGGCUUUUGAAUUUGCUGACGUGGCAUAAGUAAGUUGAAUAAAGAAAUAAAAGAAAAGAAAAAGAAAACCGGGGGCUUACUGCUGAUAAGCUAGAAAACCACAACAAAAACAACAACACUUCUCUCCAAAAUCGAACCGAAAGAAGACGUAAUAAUUGUAAAUACAAACCCUCCGUCUCCGCCGUCGCGUUGCACCUUGCCUUCGCAGAAUGUGGCGCCGUACCGGGUUGAUAACUGAAACCACAAUAAGGCUCUUACCAACAUCACAGCUUCUCUCUCCCGAAAUCGAACAGGAAGAAGACCCAAAAUUCAAAACCCAAACCCCCUAUCUUCACCGUCACGCCACACCUUCGUCGGAUACACGUAUUUAGCGGGGUUUUCCUUGCUCUAUACAUACAGGUUGUAUCUAUUUCUUUUUUCUUUUUUCUUUUUUUUUAAUCUUUUCGAGAUAUAUUUGAAGAAAAAACCAGGAUCUUUUUUGCUUGCGUGUUACUGUUUUUAGCUUUGUUUCCUAACCUUUUUGAAUUUUUUUAAAGAAUGUGAGAUUUGGAUUUAACUUUUUGGGUUCAAUGGAAAAUAAUUUAUUCUGGGUGUAUACUAUUUUGGGAGGAUAACAUUGUAAAUCCAUUGUCAUUGCUUUUUUGCAAAUUGUAAUCUUGAAGAGAGUUAAGUCCUGGAACCAACUGGAGGAAGAAUCCAUGUAUCUAAGUAAUUUUUGGGGACUUGAUUUUGAUGAUUUAAGUAUGUGUCUGAAAUUUUUUUGGUAAUCGAGACCUCAAUAAUUUUCUAGUCUUCUGUAUUUUGAGGAGAGUGUAUGGACUCGAAUGGAAAUUGUGGAAUUGAUUAUUGUUACUUUUCUCAGGAAGAAAAAUGAUCUAUUUGAGAUGCUAUCUGACAUUAAACCAAAAACCACAUGCGUUGCAACUGUUAGGGAAAUGACUAAUAAGUCAUAGCUUAGAGCAGAAACGAAUGUCAAUGCCACAACAAACCUCAGAUGCUGUAAAAGAGAAGAUUCUACACCUGGGCUGAUACAAGUUCACAAUAUCAAGAUAUAUUUGGACCGGGACAUUCAUUUCCAACCAUACCGUGGUCUGCAUAGAGUAUUAAGACAGUGUGAAAGCACUGAGAAUGUGAUCCAAUUUAGGUAUUCCGAGAAUCACCAGACGACACAGCAGAGGAGUAAGACACGUAAAGAUGACAAUCACUGUUCCUUCCAUCUCCUUUCGCCACGCCCACUAUCACCAAUACAUUUUGUACAUCAAUACAUUUAAUCAGUUGUAGUCUUUUUGUACACCAAUACAUUUCAUCAGUUUUGGCUUCCAUUAAGGCUUUGUUCGUUCAUACGGUGUCUUUGAUAGAUUGGUGUGGCUACGUUUUAGUUGUGAUUUUUAUAUAAUUCAUUUUCGCUAUUGUCCUGAUUAGCUUAUCUGGUUGGGGAUUCACAUUAAUUCUCAUUUGUGUAUUGUAAUGUAAUUAUGUGUUAUCUGUGUGAAGAAAUGAAAUCUUUACACAUUGUUUUCAUUGUUAAUUGUUAAUUUGAGGUCAGA